rnacentral:rRNA from 1 species
UAAGGGCGCACGGUGGAUGCCUUGGCACUAGAAGCCGAUGAAGGACGUUACUAACGACGAUAUGCUUUGGGGAGCUGUAAGUAAGCUUUGAUCCAGAGAUUUCCGAAUGGGGAAACCCAGCAUGAGUUAUGUCAUGUUAUCGAUAUGUGAAUACAUAGCAUAUCAGAAGGCACACCCGGAGAACUGAAACAUCUUAGUACCCGGAGGAAGAGAAAGAAAAUUCGAUUCCCUUAGUAGCGGCGAGCGAAACGGGAAGAGCCCAAACCAACAAGCUUGCUUGUUGGGGUUGUAGGACACUCUAUACGGAGUUACAAAGGACGACAUUAGACGAAUCAUCUGGAAAGAUGAAUCAAAGAAGGUAAUAAUCCUGUAGUCGAAAAUGUUGUCUCUCUUGAGUGGAUCCUGAGUACGACGGAGCACGUGAAAUUCCGUCGGAAUCUGGGAGGACCAUCUCCUAAGGCUAAAUACUCUCUAGUGACCGAUAGUGAACCAGUACCGUGAGGGAAAGGUGAAAAGCACCCCGGAAGGGGAGUGAAAUAGAACCUGAAACCGUGUGCUUACAAGUAGUCAGAGCCCGUUAAUGGGUGAUGGCGUGCCUUUUGUAGAAUGAACCGGCGAGUUACGAUUUGAUGCAAGGUUAAGCAGUAAAUGUGGAGCCGUAGCGAAAGCGAGUCUGAAUAGGGCGUUUAGUAUUUGGUCGUAGACCCGAAACCAGGUGAUCUACCCUUGGUCAGGUUGAAGUUCAGGUAACACUGAAUGGAGGACCGAACCGACUUACGUUGAAAAGUGAGCGGAUGAACUGAGGGUAGCGGAGAAAUUCCAAUCGAACCUGGAGAUAGCUGGUUCUCUCCGAAAUAGCUUUAGGGCUAGCCUCAAGUGAUGAUUAUUGGAGGUAGAGCACUGUUUGGACGAGGGGCCCCUCUCGGGUUACCGAAUUCAGACAAACUCCGAAUGCCAAUUAAUUUAACUUGGGAGUCAGAACAUGGGUGAUAAGGUCCGUGUUCGAAAGGGAAACAGCCCAGACCACCAGCUAAGGUCCCAAAAUAUAUGUUAAGUGGAAAAGGAUGUGGCGUUGCCCAGACAACUAGGAUGUUGGCUUAGAAGCAGCCAUCAUUUAAAGAGUGCGUAAUAGCUCACUAGUCGAGUGACACUGCGCCGAAAAUGUACCGGGGCUAAACAUAUUACCGAAGCUGUGGAUUGUCCUUUGGACAAUGGUAGGAGAGCGUUCUAAGGGCGUUGAAGCAUGAUCGUAAGGACAUGUGGAGCGCUUAGAAGUGAGAAUGUCGGUGUGAGUAGCGAAAGACGGGUGAGAAUCCCGUCCACCGAUUGACUAAGGUUUCCAGAGGAAGGCUCGUCCGCUCUGGGUUAGUCGGGUCCUAAGCUGAGGCCGACAGGCGUAGGCGAUGGAUAACAGGUUGAUAUUCCUGUACCACCUAUAAUCGUUUUAAUCGAUGGGGGGACGCAGUAGGAUAGGCGAAGCGUGCGAUUGGAUUGCACGUCUAAGCAGUAAGGCUGAGUAUUAGGCAAAUCCGGUACUCGUUAAGGCUGAGCUGUGAUGGGGAGGAGACAUUGUGUCUUCGAGUCGUUGAUUUCACACUGCCGAGAAAAGCCUCUAGAUAGAAAAUAGGUGCCCGUACCGCAAACCGACACAGGUAGUCAAGAUGAGAAUUCUAAGGUGAGCGAGCGAACUCUCGUUAAGGAACUCGGCAAAAUGACCCCGUAACUUCGGGAGAAGGGGUGCUCUUUAGGGUUAACGCCCAGAAGAGCCGCAGUGAAUAGGCCCAAGCGACUGUUUAUCAAAAACACAGGUCUCUGCUAAACCGUAAGGUGAUGUAUAGGGGCUGACGCCUGCCCGGUGCUGGAAGGUUAAGAGGAGUGGUUAGCUUCUGCGAAGCUACGAAUCGAAGCCCCAGUAAACGGCGGCCGUAACUAUAACGGUCCUAAGGUAGCGAAAUUCCUUGUCGGGUAAGUUCCGACCCGCACGAAAGGCGUAACGAUUUGGGCACUGUCUCAACGAGAGACUCGGUGAAAUCAUAGUACCUGUGAAGAUGCAGGUUACCCGCGACAGGACGGAAAGACCCCGUGGAGCUUUACUGUAGCCUGAUAUUGAAAUUCGGCACAGCUUGUACAGGAUAGGUAGGAGCCUUUGAAACGUGAGCGCUAGCUUACGUGGAGGCGCUGGUGGGAUACUACCCUAGCUGUGUUGGCUUUCUAACCCGCACCACUUAUCGUGGUGGGAGACAGUGUCAGGCGGGCAGUUUGACUGGGGCGGUCGCCUCCUAAAAGGUAACGGAGGCGCUC